rnacentral:rRNA from 1 species
GACGAACGCUGGCGGCGUGCUUAACACAUGCAAGUCGAGCGGAAAGGCCACUUCGGUGGUACUCGAGCGGCGAACGGGUGAGUAACACGUGAGUAAUCUGCCCUGGACUUUGGGAUAGCCACCGGAAACGGUGAUUAAUACCGGAUACGACGACUCCACGCAUGUGGUGGUUGUGGAAAGUUUUUUCGGUUCAGGAUGUGCUCGCGGCCUAUCAGCUUGAUGGUGGGGUAAUGGCCUACCAUGGCUUCGACGGGUAGCCGGCCUGAGAGGGUGACCGGCCACACGGGGACUGAGACACGGCCCAGACUCCUACGGGAGGCAGCAGUGGGGAAUAUUGGACAAUGGGCGGAAGCCUGAUCCAGCAACGCCGCGUGAGGGAUGACGGCCUUCGGGUUGUAAACCUCUUUCAGUACCGACGAAGCGAAAGUGACGGUAGGUACAGAAGAAGCACCGGCCAACUACGUGCCAGCCGCCGCCGUAAGAC